rnacentral:rRNA from 1 species
AGUAGUUGACUCCGUGCUACGAGGACGACGCUGGCGGUGUGCUUCACACAUGCAAGUCGAACGAGGUAGCAAUACCUAGUGGCGGACGGGUGAGUAACGCGUGGGAAUCUGCCUUUAGAUGGGGGAUAACGGGUCGAAAGACUCGCUAAUACCGCAUAUGACGAAAGUUGAAAGGAGUAAUCCGUCUAAAGAUGAGCCCGCGUCCGAUUAGCUAGUUGGUAGAGUAAAAGCCUACCAAGGCGACGAUCGGUAGCUGGUCUGAGAGGAUGAUCAGCCACAAUGGGACUGAGACACGGCCCAUACUCCUACGGGAGGCAGCAGUGGGGAAUUUUACGCAAUGGGCGAAAGCCUGACGUAGCGACACCGCGUGAGCGAAGAAGCCCCUUGGGGUGUAAAGCUCUGUCAGCUGGAACGAAAAAAUGACGGUACCAGCAGAGGAAGCAUCGGCUAACUACGUG